rnacentral:rRNA from 1 species
CUGAGCCUACGGGGCGCAGCAGUGGGGGAUAUUGCACAAUGGGGGAAACCCUGAUGCAGCGACGCCGCGUGGGUGAAGAAGCGCCUCGGCGCGUAAAGCCCUGUCAGCAGGGAAGAAAAUGACGGUACCUGAAGAAGAAGCCCCGGCUAACUACGUGCCAGCAGCCGCGGUAAUACGUAGGGGGCAAGCGUUAUCCGGAUUUACUGGGUGUAACGGGGGCGCAGACGGCGAUGCAAGCCAGGAGUGAAAGCCCGGGGCCCAACCCCGGGACUGCUCUUGGAACUGCGUGGCUCGAGUCCA